rnacentral:rRNA from 1 species
AUUGAACGCUGGCGGCAGGCCUAACACAUGCAAGUCGAGCGGAUGAAGGGAGCUUGCUCCUGGAUUCAGCGGCGGACGGGUGAGUAAUGCCUAGGAAUCUGCCUGGUAGUGGGGGAUAACGUCCGGAAACGGGCGCUAAUACCGCAUACGUCCUGAGGGAGAAAGUGGGGGAUCUUCGGACCUCACGCUAUCAGAUGAGCCUAGGUCGGAUUAGCUAGUUGGUGGGGUAAAGGCCUACCAAGGCGACGAUCCGUAACUGGUCUGAGAGGAUGAUCAGUCACACUGGAACUGAGACACGGUCCAGACUCCUACGGGAGGCAGCAGUGGGGAAUAAUGGACAAUGGGCGAAAGCCUGAUCCAGCCAUGCCGCGUGUGUGAAGAAGGUCUUCGGAUUGUAAAGCACUUUAAGUUGGGAGGAAGGGCAGUAAGUUAAUACCUUGCUGUUUUGACGUUACCAACAGAAUAAGCACCGGCUAACUUCGUG